GGGGGGGGGUGGGGGGGGGGGGGGGGGGGGGAGGGCGGGGGGCAGGGGGGGGGGGGCGGGCGCGGGCGGGGGGGGGGUGGGGGGGGGGGGAGGAGGACACCGGAAUCUGCUUGGUCGUGGGGGCUAACGGGGGGAGACUUACGCUACUACCGCAUACGACCUACGGGUGAAAGCAGGGGAGCUUCGGACCUUGCGCGAGUGAAGGAGCCGAUGUCGGGUUAGCUAGUUGGCGGGGUAAAGGCCCACCAAGGCGACGCUCCGUAGCUGGUCUGAGAGGAUGAUCAGCCACACUGGAACUGAGACACGGUCCAGACUCCUACGGGAGGCAGCAGUGGGGAAUAUUGGACAAUGGGCGCAAGCCUGAUCCAGCCAUACCGCGUGGGUGAAGAAGGCCUUCGGGUUGUAAAGCCCUUUUGUUGGGAAAGAAAAGCAGCAGGUUAAUACCCCGCUGUUCUGACGGUACCCAAAGAAUAAGCACCGGCUAACUUCGUG
rnacentral:rRNA from 1 species